GAUGAACGCUGGCGGUAUGCUUAACACAUGCAAGUCGAACGGACUCUUCGGAGUUAGUGGCGGACGGGUGAGUAACGCGUGAGAAUCUGGCUUUGGGUUCGGGACAACCACUGGAAACGGUGGCUAAUACCGGAUGUGCCGAGAGGUAAAAGAGAAAUUGCCUGAAGAUGAGCUCGCGUCUGAUUAGCUAGUUGGUGAGGUAAAGGCCCACCAAGGCAGCGAUCAGUAGCUGGUCUGAGAGGAUGACCAGCCACACUGGGACUGAGACACGGCCCAGACUCCUGCGGGAGGCAGCAGUGGGGAAUUGUCCGCAAUGGGCGAAAGCCUGACGGAGCAAUACCGCGUGAGAGAAGAAGGCUCUUGGGGUGUAAACCUCUUUUCUUAGGGAAGAACAAAAUGACGGUACCUAAGGAAUCAGCAUCGGCUAACUCCGUG
rnacentral:rRNA from 1 species